UACGUAGGUGGCAAGCGUUGUCCGGAUUUACUGGGCGUAAAGAGCGCGCAGGCGGUCGAUCAAGUCGAGUGUGAAAGCCCCCGGCUCAACUGGGGAGGGUCAUUCGAUACUGAUCGACUCGAAGGCAGGAGAGGGUAGUGGAAUUCCCGGUGUAGUGGUGAAAUGCGCAGAUAUCAGGAGGAACACCGGUGGCGAAGGCGGUUCUCUGGGCAUUACCUGACGCUGAGGAGCGAAAGUGUGGGGAGCGAACAGG
rnacentral:rRNA from 1 species